UGUUAGCUCCGUUUAUGUGGGUAACGAGUAUGAUAUCCCACUGAGAAAGUUUGUGAGACCCAUAACACGUGGCAUUAUACCUUAUGGGAACAGCACCGUUUGUCUAAUUAGAUGGGCGAGAAGAUUUGUUGAAACUGAUCAAUCACACACUGAAAAGUCAAACAAUACUUUUGAUCGAACGUAUUUAGCAGAAACAUUAAGAAAAUGUAUUGGAUCGAAAGGGGAUAAGAUAAUUAUGUUUGAAAGAACUAUGUGGCUUCGCAUCCUGUAAUAAAUUAACUUAAACGAUAGUUGAAAUGGUUUGAUCUCUAUGACAAUAAUAGCGAUGAUAAACAAUGCCUAAACCUCCCCAACGAAUUGCAAGCUGGAGUAACUGGUCAUGAUAAAAUCUGAACGUAGGCUGUUGCUAAAUGUCCAAUCAUGUUAGUGGGUAAUGACCAAGUGAGUUUGGAGGCCCACAUCACUAACAAAGAACAUUAUAGAGGAAUUCUAACCCCGCAAUACUAAAUAAUGGAGUUACCAGGUACACGGAUAUCUCUUGGUUUAGUGGUCUGGCAACAUCCGAAAAAAGGUAGUUGAAGAAUGUACUAAAGGCUUCCAGUGGUAUUCGCUAUGAUGAAAAAUGGACGAGUCAUACUUAAUUACGCCUUAGAAACACAGUAAUCUUCAGAUAGGAGAGAUGUGUGGUAGUUCAUAAAAAUCUAAUAUGAACUAAGUUGAGUUUACGCGAGGACAAGAUUGAUAGGAAUCAAAAUUAUAUU